rnacentral:misc_RNA from 2 species
AACGCACCUUGCGCUCCUUGGUAUUCCGAGGAGCAUGCCUGUUUGAGUGUCAUGAAUAUCUCAACCUCUCGGUUCGCCGAGGGCUUGGACUUGGAGGCUGCCGGCGUCUGUCGGCUCCUCUCUAAAUGCAGUAGCGGGACGUAAAAAGCAAUGUGGCUUUCCUCAGCGUGAUAAUUGUCUUGCUGUGUGAGAGUUCUUGCGAGCGGUGUCCGUUACCACGCGUUUCGACGUGUCGUGUAACCGCCGCAGUGCGUCUGCUUCUAAUCGUCUCUUCGGAGACAAACCUCUUGACAUCUGACCUCAAAUCAGGUAGGACUACCCGCUGAACUUAA